rnacentral:rRNA from 1 species
UACGUAGGGUGCGAGCGUUUAAUCGGAAUUACUGGGCGUAAAGCGUGCGCAGGCGGUUUUGUAAGCCGGAUGUGAAAUCCCCGGGCUUAACCUGGGAAUGGCAUUCGGGGACUGCAAGGCUGGAGUGCGGGCAGAGGGAGACUGGAAAUUCCUGGUGUAGCAGUGAAAUGCGUAGAUAUCAGGAGGAACACCGAUGGCGAAGGCAG